rnacentral:rRNA from 1 species
AUUGAACGCUGGCGGCAUGCCUAACACAUGCAAGUCGAACGGCAGCACGGGGCAACCUGGUGGCGAGUGGCGAACGGGUGAGUAAUGCAUCGGAACGUACCUUUCAGUGGGGGAUAACGUAGCGAAAGUUACGCUAAUACCGCAUAUUCUGUGAGCAGGAAAGCAGGGGAUCGCAAGACCUUGCGCUGAUUGAGCGGCCGAUGUCAGAUUAGCUAGUUGGUGAGGUAAAGGCUCACCAAGGCGACGAUCUGUAGCGGGUCUGAGAGGAUGAUCCGCCACACUGGAACGGAGACACGGUCCAGACUCCUACGGGAGGCAGCAGUGGGGAAUUUUGGACAGUGGGGGCAACCCGAAUCCAGCCAUGCCGCGUGAGUGAAGAAGGCCUUCGGGUUGUAAAGCUCUUUCGGCCGGGAAGAAAUCGCACGGGCUAAUACCCUGUGUGGAUGACGGUACCGGAAUAAGAAGCACCGGCUAACUACGUGCCAGCCGCCGCCGUAACAC